CCAGAGAGAACUAUCUGGAGCUAAAUUACUGUUUACAUCCUUUUCUAUCAUUGCAACAUGUACUGCUGACUCUGCAUGCUUUCUGGAAUCUUGUUUCACUCUUGUUGCAAGAACACUGGAAUUCCCUGGUCUCCUGUGUCCCUCUGAGAGUUCCUCCUGUCUAGCUCUCUGCCAUGAGCUGUGAUAUGCAGGGGCUCUGCAGCCCCAAAUCAUGACAGCAUUUGUUUCCAACACUUCUCGUCUUGUGAACUGGAAUGAAAACACAUAAUUCGGGCUAUUGAGGCAUUAUAGCUGCAACCUGCCCUUGCUGUGGUUCAUACAUUAACAAAGGAGUCUUCUCAGAUGCUUGAAGCAGCAAGAGACUCUUCUGUUGGCCUUGAAGAAACAAGCACCCCACGUACUACAGCUGCAAAGGCAUGAAUUCUGUCAACAACCACCUGAACUUGGUCCAGAGCAUCAAUGAGAUCACAGGUCUGGUGACACAAUGAUUGCAGGCUUCUGAGACCCUGUAGAGAGCGCCUACCUAAGCAGUGACUGAAAUCCAUCUAGACUCAGGGAAAAAAUGUGGGAUGAUUAUAUGGGUUGCUUCUGGCUACUAAGUUGAUGGUAAUUUGUUUACACAGCAAUAGAAAAUGAAAACAUUAUCUAGUACUCAAAUCAAUUUGUUGGUUCAGUACUUUGGAAUCCAUUAGUUAUGAGUGGAUUAAGUGUGGGCUAGCUGACAAGAACUCAGGUAUCUCAACAGUAACUAGAUACCCCAUGUACCCUUCCCAAAAUGUGUCAGCUAUAUCCAGAGUUAGGGAGGCAACAAGUUCUCUGUAGAUCCUGAACUUGGGUAAUUCAGUUUAUCGUCCAUAGUUAGCCUUUAUAGCUUAAUCAGUUUCCAGGGCUGCAACUUGCAUCAAUUCCUUCUUGUCAUGAUUCAUAUCCUUCUAACAUUAGAUCCAGUCACUAUAGCAUUACCCAUCAUAUACCACCAACUAUGUAGAAAACAUGUAAACUGAAAAUCAGCCAUAAGAUUUAAGAUUAUAGAUAAAAAUUUCUGAUAGUAGAUAGUACAGUAUCACUUUGAAAAUGGAAAUAAAGCUGUAGCUUUACACCAAAACAGAUCUUAUUUAGGCUAAAUGCAUUUGACAUCAGGUAACCAAGUUCAG